rnacentral:misc_RNA from 1 species
AGUCGUAACAAGGUUUCCGUAGGUGAACCUGCGGAAGGAUCAUUACAAAUAAAGCUGGUAGGAAGUGGGGUCUUGAUCUGUAAGUGGUAGAGCGAACAGUCCGGCUGCCUCCCGAGAUGUCUUACAUGUCCCCCACAGCCUGAAGGCCGAAUUACAACCCUUGAUUAUCUACACUUGUUGCUUUGGGGUGCUCAAGUGCCCCAGAGGACCCAACUCUCUUGCAUUUAGUGACGUCUGAGUACUAUAUAAUAUUUAAAA